GAUGAAGAACGUAGCGAAAUGCGAUAAGUAAUGCGAAUUGCAGAUUUCAGUGAGUCAUCGAAUCUUUGAACGCACAUUGCGCCCGCCAGUAUUCUGGCGGGCAUGCCUGUUCGAGCGUCAUUUCAACCAUCCAGCCCCCGGGCUUGCGUUGGGGCCCUGCGGCUGCCGCAGGCCCCGAAAAGCAGUGGCGGGCUCGCUGUCACACCGAGCGCAGUAGCGAUUCUCGCUCCGGGCGUCGGCGGCGGGCACCGGCCGUGAAACCCCCCCACGUCCACAAGGUUGACCUCGGAUCAGGUAGGCAUACCCGCUGAACUUAAGCAUAUCAAUAAGCGGAGGA
rnacentral:misc_RNA from 1 species